rnacentral:rRNA from 1 species
UGGGGAAUAUUGCGCAAUGGGCGAAAGCCUGAUGCAGCGACGCCGCGUGGGGGAUGAAGGUUUUCGGAUCGUAAACCUCUGUCAGAAGGGAAGAAACCGCACUGUGCUAAUCAGCAGUGCCUUGACGGUACCUUCAAAGGAAGCAACGGCUAACUCCGUGCCAGCAGCCGCGGUAAUACGGAGGGUGCAAGCGUUAAUCGGAAUUACUGGGCGUAAAGCGCACGUAGGCUGCUUUGUAAGUCAGGGGUGAAAUCCCACGGCUCAACCGUGGAACUGCCUUUGAUACUGCUUAGCUUGAAUCCGGGAGAGGGUGGCGGAAUUCCAGGUGUAGGAGUGAAAUCCGUAGAUAUCUGGAGGAACAUCAGUGGCGAAGGCGGCCACCUGGACCGGUAUUGACGCUGAGGUGCGAAAGCGUAGGGAGCAAACAGG